rnacentral:rRNA from 1 species
UACGAAGGGGACUAGCGUUGUUCGGAAUCACUGGGCGUAAAGCGCACGUAGGCGGAUUUGUAAGUCAGGGGUGAAAUCCCGGGGCUCAACCUCGGAACUGCCUUUGAUACUGCGAAUCUUGAGUCCGAUAGAGGUGGGUGGAAUUCCUAGUGUAGAGGUGAAAUUCGUAGAUAUUAGGAAGAACACCGGUGGCGAAGGCGGCCCACUGGAUCGGUACUGACGCUGAGAUGCGAAAGCGUGGGGAGCAAACAGG